AGCGGACCCCCCGCACCCAGACCCUCACCUUCCCAUCUCUUCUGCUAAGGGACCAGCCAUGUCCCCGAAGCUGUUCACUCUCCUGAGAUGCCUCCACCAGCUCCUGUCCCUACGAGGAUGGCAUGUGGGCCUGAACCUAAGGCACCCAGAGUGUUGUUCAUCAACCUCGGUAUCUCCCGUGUGCAUCCCCAGGAAGCAGGUCUUACCCCAUCAUCUCCUGAGGCUGCUGAGGCUUGGAGACCAAGUGACUCGUAGAUCUGUCUCCACAUCCUGCCCAAGCAGCUCAACAGAGACCCCUCGGGAGGGGUCCUGUUGACACCAGGGGGACUUGGAAGCAGGAGACGCAGCCUUGAACCCCCAGCGUGAUGCUCUUCUGAUGCUUGGACCCACGUGCCCUGACACUGCAUAAUACUCCCAGAGUAAUUAAAAGUGGUAUUUCAAUA